GACGAACGCUGGCGGCGUGCUUAACACAUGCAAGUCGAACGGUAAGGCUCCAGCUUGCUGGGGUACACGAGUGGCGAACGGGUGAGUAACACGUGGGUGACCUGCCCUGCACUUCGGGAUAAGCCUGGGAAACUGGGUCUAAUACCGGAUAGGACCAUGGUGUGGAUACUGUGGUGGAAAGUUUUUUCGGUGUGGGAUGGGCCCGCGGCCUACCAGCUUGUUGGUGGGGUAAUGGCCUACCAAGGCGGCGACGGGUAGCCGGCCUGAGAGGGUGGACGGCCACAUUGGGACUGAGACACGGCCCAGACUCCUACGGGAGGCAGCAGUGGGGAAUAUUGCACAAUGGGCGGAAGCCUGAUGCAGCGACGCCGCGUGGGGGAUGACGGCCUUCGGGUUGUAAACUCCUUUCACCAUCGACGAAGGGUUUCUGACGGUAGAUGGAGAAGAAGCACCGGCUAACUACGUG
rnacentral:rRNA from 1 species